rnacentral:tRNA from 1 species
AGGGGAGUGGCUCAACGGUAGAGUAGUGGUCUCCAAAACCAUUGGUUGCAGGUUCAAAUCCUGUCUCCCCUGCCA